UACAGAGGUCCCGAGCGUUGUUCGGAUUCACUGGGCGUAAAGGGUGCGUAGGUGGCUUGAAAAGUUUGAUGUGAAAGCUCAGGGCUUAACCCUGAAAUGGCAUUGAAUACUGUCGAGCUGGAGGUUUGGAGGGGGGACUGGAAUUCUUGGUGUAGCAGUGAAAUGCGUAGAUAUCAAGAGGAACACCAGUGGCGAAGGCGAGUCCCUGGACAACACCUGACACUGAGGCACGAAAGCGUGGGGAGCAAACAGG
rnacentral:rRNA from 1 species